GAAAUGCGAUAAGUAGUGUGAAUUGCAGAAUUCAGUGAAUCAUUGAAUCUUUGAACGCACAUUGCGCCCUUUGGUAUUCCAAAGGGCAUGCCUGUUCGAGCGUCAUUUGUACCCUCAAGCUUUGCUUGGUGUUGGGCGUCUUGUCUCUAGCUUUGCUGGAGACUCGCCUUAAAGUAAUUGGCAGCCGGCCUACUGGUUUCGGAGCGCAGCACAAGUCGCACUCUCUAUCAGCAAAGGUCUAGCAUCCAUUAAGCCUUUUUUUCAACUUUUGACCUCGGAUCAGGUAGGGAUACCCGCUGAACUUAAGC
rnacentral:misc_RNA from 1 species